GACAGGGGGGGGCUAGUGUUAUUCGGAAUGACUAGGCGUAAAGGGCACGUAGGCGGUGAAUCCGGUUGAAAGUGAAAGUCGCCAGCUCAACUGGCGGAAUGCUUUCAAAACCAAUUCACUUGAGUAAGAUAGAGGAUAGUGGAAUUUCGUGUGUAGAGAUAAAAUUCACAGAUAUACGAAGGAACACCAAAAGCGAAGGCAGCUUUCUGGGUCUCUACUGACGCUGAGGUGCGAAAGCAUAGGGAGCAAACAGG
rnacentral:rRNA from 1 species